GACUCCUGGCUACGAGGACGACGCUGGCGGCGUGCUUAACACAUGCAAGUCGAACGAGGUUCAGGGAAGAGCUUGCUCGGAACUGAACCGAGUGGCGGACGGGUGAGUAACGCGUGAGGAACCUGUCUCACACAGGGGGAUAACGCAUCGAAAGAUGUGCUAAUACCGCAUAUGACCACAGAGUCGCAUGGCUCAGAGGUGAAAGGAGCAAUCCGGUGUGAGGUGGACUCGCGUCUGAUUAGAUAGUUGGUGAGGUAACGGCCCACCAAGUCAACGAUCAGUAGCCGACCUGAGAGGGUGAUCGGCCACAUUGGGACUGAGACACGGCCCAGACUCCUACGGGAGGCAGCAGUGGGGAAUAUUGGGCAAUGGGCGAAAGCCUGACCCAGCAACGCCGCGUGAAGGAAGAAGGUUUUCGGAUCGUAAACUUCUGUCCUACAUGAAGAGUGAAAGACGGUAGUGUAGGAGGAAGCCCCGGCUAACUACGUGCC
rnacentral:rRNA from 1 species